UGAGUGAACCUGCUGUCAGACAGGUUGGCCUGAUUGACGAUGCCAUCGUCCAUCGCCGAUCACUGAUAGACAUCACGAUGCUGCGCCGGCAAACAGCGUCAUCAGCUCCAGUAUCUCGCCCGUGCAUUUGUUGUCAUGCGACAGUUGUGAACGCGCUGACAGCCGGUUGCCCAGGCUAUGGAUUAAAGGGCCAGAAGAGAAGGCCCUGCUGCCCCUGUCGGCCCACCGCUGCUGUCAGACAACAUCUCCAAGAUGCUAUAAACUGCAGGACUAGUAAGUACAAUCUUGAACAUGCACAACUGUUUCAUAAGUUUGGGAAGGUAUGUUUUUUUUG